AACCAACAGGGAUUGCCUCAGUAACGGCGAGUGAAGCGGCAACAGCUCAAAUUUGAAAUCUGGCGCCUUCGGCGUCCGAGUUGUAAUUUGUAGAGGAUGCUAUUGGGUUGCCACCGGUCUAAGUUCCUUGGAACAGGACGUCACAGAGGGUGAGAAUCCCGUAUGUGACCGGCCAGGCGCCUUCUGUAUAGCUCCUUCGACGAGUCGGGUUGUUUGGGAAUGCAGCCCUAAAUGGGAGGUAAAUUUCUUCUAAAGCUAAAUACCGGCCAGAGACCGAUAGCGCACAAGUAGAGUGAUCGAAAGAUGAAAAGCACUUUGGAAAGAGAGUUAAAAAGCACGUGAAAUUGUUGAAAGGGAAGCGCUUGCAAUCAGUCUCGACGGCGGCUGUUCGGCCUCUCUUCUGAGUGGUUUAUUCAGUCGCCGCCGGGCCAGCAUCAGUUUCGGCGGUCGGAUAAAGGCGUGGGGAAUGUAGCUCCUCCGGGAGUGUUAUAGCCCCGCGUGCAAUACGGCCCGCCGGGACUGAGGUCCGCGCUUCGGCUAGGAUGCUGGCGAAAUGGUUGUAAGCGGCCCGUCUUGAAACACGGACCAAGGAGUCUAACAUCUACGCGAGUGUUUGGGUGUCAAACCCGUGCGCGCAAUGAAAGUGAACGGAGGUGGGAACCGCAAGGUGCACCAUCGACCGAUCCUGAUGUCUUCGGAUGGAUUUGAGUAAGAGCGUAGCUGUUGGGACCCGAAAGAUGGUGAACUAUGCCUGAAUAGGGUGAAGCCAGAGGAAACUCUGGUGGAGGCUCGCAGCGGUUCUGACGUGCAAAUCGAUCGUCAAAUUUGGGUAUAGGGGCGAAAGACUAAU
rnacentral:rRNA from 1 species